CAUAACCUUCACCUAUUUCCUUACCAGAGCUUCAGGUUUGGGUCCUUGUUAAAAUGAAGGUUCUCCUAGUAAUUUAAACUGCUAACAGCUGUUUGUGUCUUGAUGUGAGUCCUUGCUGUAGACUAAGUUUUGUUUUAGGAGUAGCAAAAGAGCGUUGAGGCUGAGAUGGGAGGCAAAAGAUAAUACAGAAACACAUAUUCCUGUACAUCGGGGCAUUCUUAGUGGCUUUCUAAGUUGUGAAGGCACCGUGAAACACCUAGUCAUUUAUUAUGGUUCCAUUCAAGUGAGAAACUCAUGUUGAAUCACACUCUGAUGUGUGAUCUAUGGACUACACACACACACACACACACACACACACACACACACAUCAGAAAUGUGCAUGUCCUGUCUUCCUGGAGGUGUUAGGGUUCAUUCUCAGAGUUUAAGAUUUUCCUUGCACACUAGGUUCUAAGCACAGAAAUAAAUAGAUACAAGUAAACCAUGAUCAUAGCCAGUUGGGGACCCACAUAGCAGCCUUAUGGUCAGGAGAACACUCAACUUUUCCUCAAACACAAGGUUUCCGGUACUGUGGGCUUAACAGCACAGUUUGGCCCUAAGGCUUUAUUUACCUAGCAACUUUAUAUAGCUGUGUCGGGGGCAUGGGGUGGGUGGAGAAGAUGGAGAGACAGGAGAGUCUUUACAUGGAAAACUGCAAUGGUUUUAAUUUUAUGUGUCAACUUGACUGAACUAAAGGAUGUCGAGAUAGCUGGUUAAACAUUAUAUUUGAGUGUGUCUGUGAGGGUAUAGAAGAGAUUAGCAUUUGAUUUGGCAGACUGAGUAAAGUGAUCUGUCCCCAUCUGUGUGGAUAGGCAUUGUCUAUUGCAUUGAAAGCCUGGAUAGAACAAAAAGAUGGAGAAGGUGAAUGUGUUCUCUCUCCUGUUGGAGCUGUGACAUCCAUCCAUCUCCUGCCCUUGAUCUGCACUCCUGGAUCUUAGGACUUUGGAGAAUUAUACCACUGGCUUUCCUACCAGCUUGCAGAUGGCAGAUCAUGGAACUUUUUGGCUUCCAUAAUUGCAUGAGCCAGUUGUUAUAGAAAGCCUCUUCAAAUUAAGUGGCUCCCUGACUUAAAAUGAUUCAACUUGAAAUGUCUCAACUACAAUGGUGCAAAAGUAGCACUCAUUCAGUAGAAAUUAUAAUUUGAAUUUUGAUCUUUUCCUGGGCUAGGCAUAUGUAUUAUAAUACUCUGUUUCAGUGCUGGUGAGCCACUAGCCACAUGAUCACAGGGCAAAUAACUAGUAGUCUACUGUGUUGCUAAGCUAUAACAUUCAAUAGGUACACUAGUCAACUUUGUGUUACGGUAACAAAAUGCCUGAGAUAAUUUAAAAUGAGUAAAGCGUUUAUUUUGGUUCACAGUUUUGAAUGUUUUAGUCCAUGGCUGUUUGGCUAAUUACCUGUGGCAAGGCAAUUUAUCAUGGUGUAAGCAUUUGGUGGAGGAAGUUGUUAAUCUCUUGUCAGCUGAGAAGAAAAGAGAGAGAGGAAGGGACUAGGAUGUUUAGGGGAUCCCCUCAGUAGCGUAACUUCCUUCCUUUAGGCCCUACAACUUAAAGGUUCUACCACCUCCCGGUAGCAUCACAGGCUUUCGAUAAAACCUUUAAUACAUGGGCCUUUAGGGGACACUUAUCCAAACCAUAGCAAUAGAUUACUAAGUGCAGUUUCAGUUUAUGAUAUUUUCAACUUAUCAUGGAUUUAUCAGGACAUAACUCCAUCCUAAGUUGAACACCUGUGUGUGUGUGUGUGUGUGUGUGUGUGUGUGUAGUCUAUCAUUUCUCUCUUUCUUUUUUUCUGGAGACCUUUGAAAAAUGCAGAGAUUGAAAGUGGGGAGUUCACUGUACUGCAACACUCCCUACUCCUGAGAGGGGUGGAAAAUCCUUCUCUAUGGAAAUGUUCCCCUGCCCCAUUGAGAGGAUUUGAGGAUCUGGUUCUUAGCACUCUGCUUCUGCUUAAAUAGGGUGAGCUUGCCUCAGGAAGGAGAACAAGUAGCGAAUAUAAAGAAGAGUGAGGCAAGGGGACCAACCCGUGAAGACCUUGCCCUUUCUGGCAGAGGUCUCUCUAGGAUUCAGCGGAAAUGAAGAUGUGGGAGAAGUUCCGAUUAAUUGCUUUCCAGCCCUGAGAUGGCACCUCUAUUGCCAGUCAAAGUUUUAAUUAAUCAUGCCAGCAGAUGGGCUGUCAUGGGCCCUGGCAGCCAGGGUAAUGAACUCAUUUAUUAUCCAGCUCUGUCAGUGGGAGGCCAUCGAAGCUUCUGGGAAAAGGAAGAGACACUUCUGAUGCCAGAGCUCAGGAUCUGUGCGCAGUUUGGGAAAAAAUAUCUAGAGAUACCUUGAUUUCAGACUUUCCGCUAACCCUUCAAAAGGGAAGGUGUGGUGUGGAAUGGGAUUAUGGCUCAGGUAUGUUUUAUUUUUAUAGUGCUGGGGAUCAAACCCAUGGCCUUUCACGUAUUAGUCAAGCACUCUACCACUGAGCUGCACCCCAGCCCUUGGAGAACGAGGUCUUGAUAACAUGAUAACUUAGCUGGAGCUGGAAAUGGCCCUGCUUGCUGGUACUGCUUGGAUCCACCUGACUGAUGAAGUUAAGAUGACAGAGGGGCUCCCACUGCACACUGUUUUCCCAGAGCUGGAGGACUGAGCUGUGGGAACUGGGUUUGAUCGGCUCCCUGAAAACUUCCACCUGCUGAGAGCUGCAGUUGUCUUUCUGCCAUCGUGAUGAACGUGGAGCGCAGCACAAAAGUGGGCCACGUAGAACACUGAAUUGAAAUAAAGGAAAUGAAACAACCUAUGAAAAAAACAGCAUACAAGACAAAAUCAGCAAUGAAAGUCAAUGAGGCAAACACCAUCUGGUCCUGAAAAUGAAUGGAACACAAAAGGACAGCCAUACCUCCUGGGAAGCUGCGCUCCAACAGGGUACAGAGUUGCAUUCGUGCCAGCCUGAGACUAGCCUGGCUGGGUUCAGGGGUCUCCAUCUGCCUCCAGCUCAGAAGCAGCUUUUGCCUUGUUUGUUUUUAGCAGCUCUGCACUGUCAAUCUCCUUGACUGACUUUCCCCAGUCACAUCUGGCAGGCUCUGAGGCCAGGACCAGCGCCUGGGAACCUUCUGGCACUUGGCUGGACAAACAGAGCCUUCAGUGACUGUCUCCAGCUGACAUGUCCCCCAGGCAGGCAGGGGACCGAGGGGCUCCUGCUGUCAGCUCCCAAAAAUUGAAAGUCCAGGAAUUCUCUGUAUUGCAGACCCCUCAGGAAAGUCUCUCUUCCAAAACAAGUUUUCAGGAAAGAUGAGCAAGAACUCCUUCAAAGUAAAAGCUAUGGUGGCUACGUGACAUAUUUCUGGCCAAAAUGAUACACAUGGGAGCAUCUAGGCACCAAAGCAUGGUUCUGAGAAAGCUGUAGUUUUUCCUGAAAUAAAAGAGGAAAAUGAGUGGGCCACCCCUUCUUUCUUACCUGCCUUGAGCUAUAGUAGCCCAAUUGAGAGUAUAAUGUUGCAGCUAUAGGUGACAAAUGAACAUGCUAAGAAUGUCAGAGCAGACUGCCAGAAAGAGCUUGGGUUGCUAGUGGCAUAGCCAAGCAGCUGGAAUAAUGCCAGCAGCCACCUGCUCUGGACACUUCUCUCUAUAUUUUUUAUAUAAAAAUUUUUGUAAUUUUAAAAUUUUUACA